rnacentral:rRNA from 1 species
AACGUAGGUACCGAGCGUUAUCCGGAUUUACUGGGCGUAAAGCGCGUUCAGGCGGUUUGGCAAGUCGGGCAUGAAAUCUCUCGGCUCAACCGGGAGAGGUUGUCCGAUACUUCCAGACUUGAGGGCAGUAGAGGGUGGUGGAAUUCCGGGUGUAGUGGUGAAAUGCGUAGAUAUCAGGAGGAACACCAGUGGCGAAGGCGGUGCUCUGGGCCGGAACUGACGCUGAGGAGCGAAAGCGUGGGGAGCAAACAGG